CUAACACAUGCAAGUCGAGCGGAUGAAGGGAGCUUGCUCCUGGAUUCAGCGGCGGACGGGUGAGUAAUGCCUAGGAAUCUGCCUGGUAGUGGGGGAUAACGUCCGGAAACGGGCGCUAAUACCGCAUACGUCCUGAGGGAGAAAGUGGGGGAUCUUCGGACCUCACGCUAUCAGAUGAGCCUAGGUCGGAUUAGCUAGUUGGUGGGGUAAAGGCCUACCAAGGCGACGAUCCGUAACUGGUCUGAGAGGAUGAUCAGUCACACUGGAACUGAGACACGGUCCAGACUCCUACGGGAGGCAGCAGUGGGGAAUAUUGGACAAUGGGCGAAAGCCUGAUCCAGCCAUGCCGCGUGUGUGAAGAAGGUCUUCGGAUUGUAAAGCACUUUAAGUUGGGAGGAAGGGCAGUAAGUUAAUACCUUGCUGUUUUGACGUUACCAACAGAAUAAGCACCGGCUAACUUCGUGCCAGCAGCCGCGGUAAUACGAAGGGUGCAAGCGUUAAUCGGAAUUACUGGGCGUAAAGCGCGCGUAGGUGGUUCAGCAAGUUGGAUGUGAAAUCCCCGGGCUCAACCUGGGAACUGCAUCCAAAACUACUGAGCUAGAGUACGGUAGAGGGUGGUGGAAUUUCCUGUGUAGCGGUGAAAUGCGUAGAUAUAGGAAGGAACACCAGUGGCGAAGGCGACCACCUGGACUGAUACUGACACUGAGGUGC
rnacentral:rRNA from 1 species